rnacentral:lncRNA from 1 species
UUUUUUGUUUUUUUCUAAAUGAAAAGUUGAGCACUCCUUAUAGAAAUUGAGAGUAGCAAUCAAGGUAUGUGUGCUAAAAUGGAAAUGCAUAUAUUUUUCAUGCAAAAGCUAGUGUUUUUGCAAUUGGAUUAGGAUGAAGGGAUUUUUGUAGUGAGUUAUUAUGAGGGAUUUUUGCAAAAAAAACCCAACAUAAUUACAAUGCAAUGAGACCAGACAAC